UACGGGGGGUGCAAGCGUUGUCCGGAAUCACUGGGCGUAAAGGGCGCGUAGGUGGCGUCGUAAGUCUGUGGUGAAAGCCCGGAGCUCAACUCCGGGUCUGCCGCGGAUACUGCGAGGCUUGAGUGCUGUAGAGGGGGGUAGAAUGCCGGGUGUAGCGGUGGAAUGCGUAGAGAUCCGGCAGAAGACCGGUGGCGAAGGCGGCCCCCUGGGCAGUAACUGACACUGAGGCGCGACAGCGUGGGGAGCAAACAGG
rnacentral:rRNA from 1 species